UACGAAGGGGGCUAGCGUUGCUCGGAAUGACUGGGCGUAAAGGGCGCGUAGGCGGUUUGGUUGUUAGGUGUGAAAUUCCUGGGCUUAACCUGGGGGCUGCACUUAAUACGGCCAGGCUUGAGUGUGAAAGAGGGUCGUGGAAUUCCCAGUGUAGAGGUGAAAUUCGUAGAUAUUGGGAAGAACACCGGUGGCGAAGGCGGCGACCUGGUUCAUUACUGACGCUGAGGCGCGAAAGCGUGGGGAGCAAACAGG
rnacentral:rRNA from 1 species